GGACAGCCUCCACAAUGGAAAUUGGGCUGAACUGGAUCUUUAUUCUGACUAUUUUCCAAGGUGUCCAGUGUGAUAUUCAGUUGGUGGAGUCUGGGGGUGAUGUGAAACAGCCUGGGGAAUCUCUGAGUCUCUCCUGUAAAGCUUCUGGAUUUACCUUCAGCAACUUUUGGAUGCACUGGGUCCGCCAGGCUCCAGGGAAGGGGCUGGAGUGGAUCUCAACAAUUAAGUAUGAUAGCAGUGCAAAAUAUUACGCAGAUUCAGUGAAAGGACGAUUCACCAUUUCCAGGGACAAUGGCAACAGCCUGCUGCACCUGCAAAUGAAUUCCCUUAAAGCUGAGGACACAGCCAUGUAUUACUGUGCAAAAGACACAGUGAGGAAAAGUAGUUUCUGGGACUUCUGGAUUGUUAGGGGAACUUUGACCUCACUUUUAGCCAGUGGAUCAGUGGCAGCGGAAUGCUUCAGGGGACAUGUCUUUGGGGGCCCUGUGAUCACCAUUGCCAACAGUUACACGUGCCAUCUUGUGGUCAGUUAG